rnacentral:rRNA from 1 species
GACGAACGCUGGCGGCGUGCUUAACACAUGCAAGUCGAACGGAAAGGCCCUGCUUUUGUGGGGUGCUCGAGUGGCGAACGGGUGAGUAACACGUGAGUAACCUGCCCUUGACUUUGGGAUAACUUCAGGAAACUGGGGCUAAUACCGGAUAGGAGCUCCUGCUGCAUGGUGGGGGUUGGAAAGUUUCGGCGGUUGGGGAUGGACUCGCGGCUUAUCAGCUUGUUGGUGGGGUAGUGGCUUACCAAGGCUUUGACGGGUAGCCGGCCUGAGCGGGUGACCGGCCACGUUGGGACUGAGAUACGGCCCAGACUCCUACGGGAGGCAGCGGUGGGGAAUAUUGCACAAUGGGCGGAAGCCUGAUGCAGCAACGCCGCGUGCGGGAUGACGGCCUUCGGGUUGUAAACCGCUUUCGCCUGUGACGAAGCGUGAGUGACGGUAAUGGGUAAAGAAGCACCGGCUAACUACGUG